rnacentral:rRNA from 1 species
UACGUAGGGUGCGAGCGUUGUCCGGAAUUAUUGGGCGUAAAGGGCUCGUAGGCGGUUUGUCACGUCGGGAGUGAAAACUCGGGGCUUAACCCCGAGCCUGCUUCCGAUACGGGCUGACUAGAGGUAUGCAGGGGAGAACGGAAUUCCUGGUGUAGCGGUGAAAUGCGCAGAUAUCAGGAGGAACACCGGUGGCGAAGGCGGUUCUCUGGGCAUUACCUGACGCUGAGGAGCGAAAGUGUGGGGAGCAAACAGG